UUUUAUUUGAGAGUUUGAUCCUGGCUCAGGAUGAACGCUGGCGGCGUGCCUAACACAUGCAAGUUGAGCGAUUUACUUCGGUAAAGAGCGGCGGACGGGUGAGUAACGCGUGGGUAACCUACCCUGUACACACGGAUAACAUACCGAAAGGUAUGCUAAUACGGGAUAAUAUAUUUGAGAGGCAUCUCUUAAAUAUCAAAGGUGAGCCAGUACAGGAUGGACCCGCGUCUGAUUAGUUAGUUGGUAAGGUAACGGCUUACCAAGGCGA
rnacentral:rRNA from 1 species